AGUCAUGACCCAGCCCUAAAGGGUUAUGGGCUCCGGCAAGCAGUUAGUUACUCACUCUCUCCUUUCUGGUCUAAAUUGGGUUGGAAUAUAUAUCAAAGGAAGCCAGAAAGUGGUUGGGGAGAUUAAAAAAAACAACAACAACAACGUUUAGACUGAAUGUCUUGACGGUCCAUCCAUUCACUUCUGCUUUGAAAAUGGCAUUGUUAUGAGAAAAGUCAUUUUAUUUUCAUUCUUAAAAGGACUUCAUGCAUGAGAUUGCCACUUCACAGAGUAUUUAUCAAACAUGGACAAGCUUAUUUUUAAUCACUGUGUUGAAAGGCAGAAAUUACUUCAUCAGAUUCGUUUUGCUGCUACCUCAAAGACCUAACUGCAGCACCUCAAAGAAAUGAGAAAUUUCAUGAGUAGAGGAAGGAAAGGAACCAGGGAGAUCAGAAAAGACCAGGAUGAAAGUAAAACAGAUUGCUCCCAUAAUGUGGGUGAGCCUCGGCCAGUCAAUUGGAAGGAAGCCUCAAUAGCAUAAAAGACUGCCAUCCCCAGAGUAAGAGGGAAUUCUGCCCGCAAACUGCUUAUGAACUCCAACUGCAGUUCUCUCCUGAGUUACCAGCCUGCAUCCUCCUCCAUCAGAUUUUGGACUCAUCAAGCCUCCACAAUCAUAUAAAGGUGACCCUAGAAGCAUGGCCAUAAACUACCUCAAGAAUGGACAUCUUCAACCAAGUCAAUUAGCAGCAACUGUCCAAAUAUCUGGAACAAGAACAGCAAGAACAGUAGCUGUUGCUCAGAACACAAAAGAGAAGAUAAGCCCAAAAGAUAGACUGUGUGAACUGAACAGGCUUCUUCACAGCCUUUCCCACACUUGCUGGUAUCACAGAGGUGAUGCAACCUGAGGCUCAAGCAUGAUAUCAAUGCCCAACUGAUGCUGCAUGAAGUAACACUCACUCUUCUGUGGAUACUGGAACAGAUGCUUUUGGUGCUCACAUUACAUCCCUGGACCCCCUUCUGAAUCCUGUGCAGUUGUGUGGACAGUUCCAUGUAGGCUUUUUGCUCUUCUGCCUCAGGGCUUUCAUCAAAGUCAGGGCAGCCUAGUCAGCUCAGAAAGCGAGUGUGGGGGAGCUUUGCAGUGAAAGCUAAGCUACCAGGGGCAACUCUCAACCCAUGACGGGUGGAGCUACAACAUUAUUUUAGUCUGCACAGUUAAGUCACAAAAGGUGAAGCAUAAAGACAGAAAGGCAAAUAUUAGGACAAAACACAUAAUCAUCCAAAAUUUGGAUGGUGCCAGGGAAAGGAAUGAGAAAUGGAACAAUAUGUAUUUUGUCAUUGCUUAUAGUAAGGAAUUAACAGUCUUUCAAAAGAAAUACAGGAUUAAGGACAUUGUAUAAUGUCAAUCAUACAGAACAAAUAUGAAAACCUUUUAAGUCAUAAGAAUUAAGAUAGCCACAAAGCAAAGAAAAUACAGAUCUUAUAGAAAACCAUACAAAGUAAGAAUAAAAACUGAGAUGAAGGUGGUGUAAAAUAUUACAUACUUCUAAGAUCAAACAUUAUUUUCACAUUAAUAAAUGUAUUAAUGGACAAAUUUGCCUAUUCAAAAUCCCAAAAAAAGAUUUUUUUUUUUGGAAAUUGUAAAGCUAAAUUUAAUUGUAGGCUUUAUACAACAGAUACUUAAAACAAAAAAACAAAAUAAGAAAAGUUGUAAAUUAAAUUAUGGGAAAAUGCAUGUGAGAAAAAUGCAAGCAAACAAUUAGGAAAGCAGGGGUUACAACCUUAGUAUUAGAAAAAGUAAAUAGGA
rnacentral:lncRNA from 1 species